CCUACGGGCGGCAGCAGUGGGGGAUAUUGCACAAUGGGGGAAACCCUGAUGCAGCGACGCCGCGUGGGCGAAGAAGUAUUUCGGUAUGUAAAGCCCUAUCAGCAGGGAAGAAGAAAUGACGGUACCUGAGUAAGAAGCACCGGCUAAAUACGUGCCAGCAGCAGCGGUAAUACGUAUGGUGCAAGCGUUAUCCGGAUUUACUGGGUGUAAAGGGAGCGCAGGCGGCACGGCAAGCCUGAUGUGAAAGCCCGCGGCCCAACCGCGGGACUGCAUUGGGAACUACCGGGCUGGAGUGCCGGAGAGGUAGGCGGAAUGCCUAGUGUAGCGGUGAAAUGCGUAGAUAUUAGGAGGAACACCAGUGGCGAAGGCGGCUUACUGGACUGUAAAUGACGCUGAGGCUCGAAAGCGUGGGGAGCAAACAGGAUUAGAUACCCGGGUAGUC
rnacentral:rRNA from 1 species